CUACGGGAUGCUCCAGUGAGGAAUAUUGCACAAUGGGGGGAACCCUGAUGCAGCAACGCCGCGUGGAGGAUGACGCAUUUCGGUGUGUAAACUCCUUUUAUAUGUCAAGAAAAUGACGGUAGCAUAUGGAUAAGCACCGGCUAACUCCGUGCCAGCAGCCGCGGUAAUACGGAGGGUGCAAGCGUUACUCGGAAUCACUGGGCGUAAAGGACGCGUAGGCGGGCUUGUAAGUCAGGUGUGAAAUCCUACAGCUUAACUGUAGAACUGCACUUGAAACUACGAGCCUAGAGUAUGGGAGGGGGAGAUGGAAUUAGUGGUGUAGGGGUAAAAUCCGUAGAUAUCACUAGGAAUACCUAAAGCGAAGGCGAUCUCCUGGAACAUUACUGACGCUAAGGCGUGAAAGCGUGGGGAGCAAACAGGAUUAGAUACCCCUGUAGUC
rnacentral:rRNA from 1 species